CUUUGUCCUGAAGAUCAUCUCUCGUGGACAUCCACCAGGGGACGAGGUCCUGAUCAACCGAUGGCAAGAGCUAUGUGAUUAAGUAUUUAAGUUCUCUGCUUGAGCUACACAGGAGCUAUAGGAUGAGGUGAUAUCAUGCAUGAUGGACAGAUUUGCAGAUUCUACUCUGUGUAUUGGUUGUAAUAACAUCUUACAUUAUGGGACGGAGUGAGUAAUCAACAUUACUUUGGAGUUCUAGCAUUUUUGCACUUUGUAAACUGAACCGUUCUGCUCUCACCCAUUUCAUCAGUGCGUUGAUGCAUGCAAUAUUACUGUGUUGGUACCAAAACAAUGAAUCACACCUUACUUGCAGAAAAUAACAACUCAACCUGGCAAGAGUAUCCAAACCUCCUGACAAAAAGUUAUAUAGGCUUGGCAAAGGGAAUGAGUUACUGAUCUCCCUCUUCCUAACACUCACCUGCCAAAAAGGACACCGAACAACUACGUAUAUAUACUAAGCUGUCAUCUUAAGCCUGGUGUUGCUAUCAGCUUAACCAAUCAAGCUCAACAUGUCUGCUAGCUACAAGACCAUUUUCAUGAGGAUACUUCUCAUCUCUUGCAUUCUACUCCCCCUUGGGUUUCUUUCUCUUGCACCACCUCUACCCGCAGCUAGCUCGAGAAGCGCACGAACGUCUGGGUACAUUGUUAUCAGUGGUUGCAACAAUUACUGCAGCGUGGCCUGCUGCUACUGCAACAUCCACAGGUUUCCACCUGUUUGUGAAAAGUGCUGCGAGUAAUAUGAAGUCUUCACUUCCUCCAUC